rnacentral:rRNA from 1 species
AACGUAGGAGACAAACGUUAUCCGGAGUUACUGGGCGUAAAGGGCGUGUAGGUGGUUUCGUAAGUCUGGCGUGAAAUUUCUCGGCUUAACCGAGGCAGGUCGUCGGAUACUGCGGAACUUGAGGACGGUAGAGGCGUGUGGAAUUCCGGGUGUAGUGGUGAAAUGCGUAGAGAUCCGGAAGAACACCGGUGGCGAAGGCGGCCUGCUGGGCAGUUGCUGACACUGAGGCGCGACAGCGUGGGGAGCAAACAGG